UUGAGAAGGAAGAUCUCAAGUGAGUGCCCAUUACAGGAGGCACCUCUCAUAAUGUACAAUAAAAUCAAUCAUUGCUUCCAGCAGAAUACAAAAAUACACAUCUCAGUGACUUCCAUACAAUAAUAAAUAUGUAAUCAUGCAUCCAACAAUUAAAAGGCACAGAAAACUAGUCACUUAGUAGUCAUAAAAAUUACUAACUAUAUUAACAAAGCCACCCGAAUUAUCUGUACAAGGAAAUGUAACAAUAUAUUCCAAAGGUGAAAACAUAAACCAUCUUUAAAAUAGUAUAUGCAAUAAAUACCUCAAUUGUUUUAUAUAUUAAAAAUAAAACUGUGCCAUUGUAAACAGUAUGUAAACAAACAAAACUCACUGUUCCUUACCAUUAUUAAAAGUAAAUAAAGCAAAAAGUUACAACCCUGCUCUGUUAGAUAUAUUUCAUUGGCAAGUUUUUCAGGCAGUUUAAAGUUGUACUCUUUUCUGCAGCAAACAGAGCCCACUGUGUAUCUUACUCUUAGAAAUAAGCACUACAGCAUUACUAUGCUUCAAAACUGACCACCUGAAAUGUAGUAGGUCCUUAAAUAUCAACAAGAUUGUCAGAACUGAAACUUAAGAAAAGCGAUUUUGCAGUGUUAUGGACAAAAGUAACUGAAUUAUAUGAAAUACUAUAGUGUCAGUAUAACUUAGCAACCUAUAUAACACCGUUCAUCCACAGAUCUCAGAGUGCUUCACAAAGGUGGGUAAGCAUUAUUAUCUCCAUUUUACAGAAGGAGAAACUGAGGCACAGCUUGGUUAAGUGACUGCCCAAAGUUAUACAGGAAGUCAAUGGCAGAGAGCUAGGAGUAUAAUCCAGGGCUCCCAACUCCCAGUCUGGUGCUCUAUCCACUGGACUAUACUUCCUCAUUCCCUAUAUAUUCUUAGUUUGAGAUUUAAUUUGUUAUGUCCUUUAGGACAAUGAGUAUGGAGUCCUGCACUCACAGUUCCCAAGUAUAAUUAUAGAAAAAAUAAGGAAGAUGUGUAGGAGAGUUAUCUGCUUGCUUAGACCAGAAUCUGCUCCCACUGAAGGCAAUGGGAGUUUUUCUAUUGACAACAGGCAGGGGGGCACGAUCAAACUUAGGCAGACUUGUGUGCCCAUGAAAAGCCUUAGUAAGUCUCUGCGCUAGCCCAGCGGUCAGUCCUUGCAGGCCUGAUUGCAGAAUCAAGGCCUUUAUGUUUAGUCUUUUGGUGUCUGAUCCUUCAAGGAACAAGCAGACAAAACUUUCAGGUCGUUCAACCAGGGUGGCAGAUCAGGCUGUUUUCCAACAUCAUUUUUAUCAAGGGGGUGGAGGGGUACAAACAAAAAACCUAAAAAUCUAUGAACCUACGUAAUUUUCCCUUUGAAAAAAAACAUUAGGGAACAGGUGACAUUCGACAUCUAUAGCACAUCCCUGCCAAAGGAGAAUGUUUAGCUUCUCAGUUCUUCAGCUUUUGAUAACAUUGGUACAGAGUCAUAAUUUUAAGAACCUUAUUGUAUCCCUGGGAGGUUCUUCACCAGUGAUUAUCUGUGACAAACACUGAUCUGUUUCAGAUGUGCAUAUGCCAAAGUGCAUAGUGGUUCUUAUCUGAAAUUAAUAUAUUUAGGUCUAGAUUAAGGUAUUAAAAGUAUCAAGGUAUGUUUAUUUCAAUGUUUCACAAUAUAACAUUUUUUCAUGGCAAGUGGUGAAAGGCAUCCACCUAAAGUAUACACAGGUUCAUAUAUCCCUUUAGAAGGGAUUCAGGAAGCACAACAUUACUGUAUUUCUCUUCUACUAGUAAAAGCAGCAAAGAAUCCUGUGGCACCUUAUAG